rnacentral:rRNA from 1 species
UGAGUUUGAUCAUGGCUCAGGAUGAACGCUGGCGGCAUGCCUAAUACAUGCAAGUCGAACGGAACUUACUUGUUAAGUUCAGUGGCGAACGGGUGAGUAACACGUAGAUAACCUGCCCAUACCCGGGGGAUACGCUUUGGAAACGAAGUCUAAAACCCCAUCCGAAAGAACAAGGCAUCUUGUCCUUUUUAAACAGGCCAUCAAGCCUGGGGGAUGAAUGGAUCUGCGGUGCAUUAGUUAGUUGGUAAGGCAACGGCUUACCAAGGCGAUGAUGCAUAGCCGGCCUGAGAGGGCGAUCGGCCACACUGGGACUGAGACACGGCCCAGACUCCUGCGGGAGGCAGCAGUAGGGAAUUUUCGUCAAUGGGCGCAAGCCUGAACGAGCAAUGCCGCGUGAGUGAGGAAGGUCUUCGGAUCGUAAAGCUCUGUUGCAGGUCAAAAAGGAAGGCAAGAGGAAAUGCUUGUCUUUUGAUGGUAGCCUGCCAGAAAGUCACGGCUAACUACGUGCCAGCAGCCGCGGUAAUACGUAGGUGGCGAGCGUUAUCCGGAAUGAUUGGGCGUAAAGGGUGCGCAGGCGGCGUGACAAGUCUGAAAGUGAAAGGUACGGGCUCAACCUGUACAGGCUUUGGAAACUGUCACGCUAGAGGACAGGAGAAGGGCGGUGGAACUCCAUGUGUAGCGGUAAAAUGCGUAGAUAUAUGGAAGAACACCCAGUGGGCGAAGGCCGGCCGCCUGGACUGUAACUGACGCUCAGGCACGAAAGCGUGGGGAGCAAAUAGGAUUAGAUACCCUAGUAGUCCACGCCCUAAACGAUGAGGGAGCAGGUGCCGGGGGUAGUACCCUCGGUGCCGAAAGCUAACGCAGUGACUCCUCCGCCUGGGGAGUAUGCACGCAAGUGUGAAACUCAAAGGAAUUGACGGGGGCCCGCACAAGCGGUGGAGUAUGUGGUUUAAUUCGAAGCAACGCGAAGAACCUUACCAGGCCUUGACAUGGGAUGCAAAGACUUAGAGAUAAGUUAGAGGUUAUCAUCCACACAGGUGGUGCAUGGUUGUCGUCAGCUCGUGUCGUGAGAUGUUCAGUUAAGUCUGGCAACGAGCGCAACCCUCGUGAUCUGUUGCUACCAGUAAGAUGAGGACUCAGAUCAGACUGCCGGUGACAAACCGGAGGAAGGCGGGGAUGACGUCAAAUCAUCAUGCCCCUUAUGGCCUGGGCUACACACGUACUACAAUGGCGCCUACAGACGGAAGCGAAGCUGUAAAGUGGAGCAAACCCGACUAAAAGGCGUCCCAGUUCGGAUUGAAGUCUGCAACCCGACUUCAUGAAGUUGGAAUCGCUAGUAAUCGCGGAUCAGCAUGCCGCGGUGAAUACGUUCCCGGGCCUUGUACACACCGCCCGUCAAACCAUGGAAGCCGGCAACGCCCGAAGCCGAUGGCAUAACCCAAAAGGGAGUGAGUCGUCUAAGGCGGGGCCGAUGACUGGGGUUAAGUCGUAACAAGGUAGCCGUA